AUUGCUUUACGUAUUGUCUCCACCAGACCUGAAUCGCUCAUAAGAGAUUCAUUAAGACGCCAUGUACUUCCUCUAGCUGGGUAUAAAGCUUUAAAGGUAGUGACAACCGGUGCAUGAUCUGACCAUGACCUGACCCCAAUCUUCACAUCUAUUACAUUGGUUAUGGUCCUUUUAGCUACCAGACACAUAUCUAUACAAGAUUAUGAGCACUGGGCUGAUGAAAAGUAUGUAUAAUCCUCAGCUGCUGGAUGUAAACAGAGCCAAG